rnacentral:rRNA from 1 species
UACGUAGGGUGCAAGCGUUAUCCGGAAUUAUUGGGCGUAAAGAGCUCGUAGGCGGUUUGUCGCGUCUGCUGUGAAAACUGGAGGCUCAACCUCCAGCCUGCAGUGGGGUACGGGCAGACUAGAGUGCGGUAGGGGGAGAUUGGAAUUCCUGGUGUAGCGGUCGGAAUGCGCAGAUAUCAGGAGGAACACCGAUGGCGAAGGCAGAUCUCUGGGCCGUAACUGACGCUGAGGAGCGAAAGCAUGGGGGAGCGAACAGG